rnacentral:rRNA from 1 species
AACGAACGCUGGCGGCAUGCCUAACACAUGCAAGUCGAACGAGACCUUCGGGUCUAGUGGCGCACGGGUGCGUAACGCGUGGGAACCUGCCCUUAGGUUCGGAAUAACUCCCCGAAAGGGGUGCUAAUACCGGAUAAUGUCUUCGGACCAAAGAUUUAUCGCCUUUGGAUGGGCCCGCGUUGGAUUAGCUAGUUGGUAGGGUAAAAGCCUACCAAGGCGACGAUCCAUAGCUGGUCUGAGAGGAUGAUCAACCACACUGGGACUGAGACACGGCCCAGACUCCUACGGGAGGAAGCAGUGGGGAAUAUUGGACAAUGGGCGAAAGCCUGAUCCAGCAAUGCCGCGUGAGUGAUGAAGGCCUUAGGGUUGUAAAGCUCUUUUACCCGGGAUGAUAAUGACAGUACCGGGAGAAUAAGCUCCGGCUAACUCCGUG